rnacentral:rRNA from 1 species
UACGAAGGGGGCUAGCGUUGUUCGGAAUUACUGGGCGUAAAGCGUGCGCAGGCGGCUUCUCAAGUCAGGGGUGAAAGCCCAGAGCUCAACUCUGGAAUUGCCUUUGAGACUGAGUGGCUUGAGUACGGGAGAGGUGAGUGGAAUUCCCAGUGUAGAGGUGAAAUUCGUAGAUAUCGGGAGGAACACCAGUGGCGAAGGCGGCUUCCUGGACCGGUUCUGACACUGAGGAGCGAAAGCGUGGGGAGCGAUCCGG